rnacentral:snoRNA from 1 species
CCCACCAGCUUUACAUGAUGAGAUACAAUCAAGAACCGAAUACACUUUAGGAAGAGCCGGAAGAGGUAUGACAUGCCGUCACUAUCAAACCUCAUGAGGCGACAGGUGCAAUACAUUCCCAGCGAAAUGAUUGAAAUUUUCCU